rnacentral:tRNA from 2 species
GACUCCGUAGCUCAGUUGGAUAGAGCAGCCGCCUUCUAAGCGGCAGGUCGCAGGUUCGAAUCCUGCCGGGGUCGCCA